AGUCGACGGGACGGGUACCGCGGCGCUGGCCGGUAAGAGAGGCACUGGCCUGUAAGAGAGGGGAAGAGACACCGCUGGUCGGUAAGAGAGGGAAGAGACACCGGCGAGACAUCGAACUUUCUUCGGGAGAAUUCAUCCCGGAUUUAAUCCUGAUUAAACUUCUUAUUGCACCAUUCUCAACAUACUCUUGAAGGUGUAUUAUAAAAUAUAUAGACCAUCAUAAUCCAGUUCUGAAAUUGGUUAACUCGUUGCACCAUUACUAUCAGAGAUUAACUCGUUGCACCAUAACUUUCAAACCAUUGAUCGAUUACUACGAUAAUAUUACACCAUUACGGGCCUAUUGAGCUCUUUUACAGCGCGUCACACUAUUAAUCGCGUUUAACGUUGUUAACUUAAUC
rnacentral:lncRNA from 1 species